rnacentral:rRNA from 1 species
ACUAAGCGUACACGGUGGAUGCCCUGGCAGUCAGAGGCGAUGAAGGACGUGCUAAUCUGCGAUAAGCGUCGGUAAGGUGAUAUGAACCGUUAUAACCGGCGAUUUCCGAAUGGGGAAACCCAGUGUGUUUCGACACACUAUCAUUAACUGAAUCCAUAGGUUAAUGAGGCGAACCGGGGGAACUGAAACAUCUAAGUACCCCGAGGAAAAGAAAUCAACCGAGAUUCCCCCAGUAGCGGCGAGCGAACGGGGAGCAGCCCAGAGCCUGAAUCAGUGUGUGUGUUAGUGGAAGCGUCUGGAAAGGCGCGCGAUACAGGGUGACAGCCCCGUACACAAAAAUGCACAUGCUGUGAGCUCGAUGAGUAGGGCGGGACACGUGGUAUCCUGUCUGAAUAUGGGGGGACCAUCCUCCAAGGCUAAAUACUCCUGACUGACCGAUAGUGAACCAGUACCGUGAGGGAAAGGCGAAAAGAACCCCGGCGAGGGGAGUGAAAAAGAACCUGAAACCGUGUACGUACAAGCAGUGGGAGCCUCUUUAUGGGGUGACUGCGUACCUUUUGUAUAAUGGGUCAGCGACUUAUAUUCUGUAGCAAGGUUAACCGAAUAGGGGAGCCGAAGGGAAACCGAGUCUUAACUGGGCGUUAAGUUGCAGGGUAUAGACCCGAAACCCGGUGAUCUAGCCAUGGGCAGGUUGAAGGUUGGGUAACACUAACUGGAGGACCGAACCGACUAAUGUUGAAAAAUUAGCGGAUGACUUGUGGCUGGGGGUGAAAGGCCAAUCAAACCGGGAGAUAGCUGGUUCUCCCCGAAAGCUAUUUAGGUAGCGCCUCGUGAAUUCAUCUCCGGGGGUAGAGCACUGUUUCGGCAAGGGGGUCAUCCCGACUUACCAACCCGAUGCAAACUGCGAAUACCGGAGAAUGUUAUCACGGGAGACACACGGCGGGUGCUAACGUCCGUCGUGAAGAGGGAAACAACCCAGACCGCCAGCUAAGGUCCCAAAGUCAUGGUUAAGUGGGAAACGAUGUGGGAAGGCCCAGACAGCCAGGAUGUUGGCUUAGAAGCAGCCAUCAUUUAAAGAAAGCGUAAUAGCUCACUGGUCGAGUCGGCCUGCGCGGAAGAUGUAACGGGGCUAAACCAUGCACCGAAGCUGCGGCAGCGACGCUUAUGCGUUGUUGGGUAGGGGAGCGUUCUGUAAGCCUGUGAAGGUGUGCUGUGAGGCAUGCUGGAGGUAUCAGAAGUGCGAAUGCUGACAUAAGUAACGAUAAAGCGGGUGAAAAGCCCGCUCGCCGGAAGACCAAGGGUUCCUGUCCAACGUUAAUCGGGGCAGGGUGAGUCGACCCCUAAGGCGAGGCCGAAAGGCGUAGUCGAUGGGAAACAGGUUAAUAUUCCUGUACUUGGUGUUACUGCGAAGGGGGGACGGAGAAGGCUAUGUUGGCCGGGCGACGGUUGUCCCGGUUUAAGCGUGUAGGCUGAUUUUCCAGGCAAAUCCGGAAAAUCAAGGCUGAGGCGUGAUGACGAGGCACUACGGUGCUGAAGCAACAAAUGCCCUGCUUCCAGGAAAAGCCUCUAAGCAUCAGGUAACAUCAAAUCGUACCCCAAACCGACACAGGUGGUCAGGUAGAGAAUACCAAGGCGCUUGAGAGAACUCGGGUGAAGGAACUAGGCAAAAUGGUGCCGUAACUUCGGGAGAAGGCACGCUGAUAUGUAGGUGAAGUCCCUCGCGGAUGGAGCUGAAAUCAGUCGAAGAUACCAGCUGGCUGCAACUGUUUAUUAAAAACACAGCACUGUGCAAACACGAAAGUGGACGUAUACGGUGUGACGCCUGCCCGGUGCCGGAAGGUUAAUUGAUGGGGUCAGCGCAAGCGAAGCUCUUGAUCGAAGCCCCGGUAAACGGCGGCCGUAACUAUAACGGUCCUAAGGUAGCGAAAUUCCUUGUCGGGUAAGUUCCGACCUGCACGAAUGGCGUAAUGAUGGCCAGGCUGUCUCCACCCGAGACUCAGUGAAAUUGAACUCGCUGUGAAGAUGCAGUGUACCCGCGGCAAGACGGAAAGACCCCGUGAACCUUUACUAUAGCUUGACACUGAACAUUGAGCCUUGAUGUGUAGGAUAGGUGGGAGGCUUAGAAGUGUGGACGCCAGUCUGCAUGGAGCCGACCUUGAAAUACCACCCUUUAAUGUUUAAUGUUCUAACGUGGACCCGUAAUCCGGGUUGCGGACAGUGUCUGGUGGGUAGUUUGACUGGGGCGGUCUCCUCCUAAAGAGUAACGGAGGAGCACGAAGGUUGGCUAAUCCUGGUCGGACAUCAGGAGGUUAGUGCAAUGGCAUAAGCCAGCUUGACUGCGAGCGUGACGGUGCGAGCAGGUGCGAAAGCAGGUCAUAGUGAUCCGGUGGUUCUGAAUGGAAGGGCCAUCGCUCAACGGAUAAAAGGUACUCCGGGGAUAACAGGCUGAUACCGCCCAAGAGUUCAUAUCGACGGCGGUGUUUGGCACCUCGAUGUCGGCUCAUCACAUCCUGGGGCUGAAGUAGGUCCCAAGGGUAUGGCUGUUCGCCAUUUAAAGUGGUACGCGAGCUGGGUUUAGAACGUCGUGAGACAGUUCGGUCCCUAUCUGCCGUGGGCGCUGGAGAACUGAGGGGGGCUGCUCCUAGUACGAGAGGACCGGAGUGGACGCAUCACUGGUGUUCGGGUUGUCAUGCCAAUGGCACUGCCCGGUAGCUAAAUGCGGAAGAGAUAAGUGCUGAAAGCAUCUAAGCACGAAACUUGCCCCGAGAUGAGUUCUCCCUGACUCCUUGAGAGUCCUGAAGGAACGUUGAAGACGACGACGUUGAUAGGCCGGGGGUGUAAGCGCAGCGAUGCGUUGAGCUAACCGGUACUAAUGAACCGUGAGGCUUAACC